AUCCAGAGGAAGCUGGCCUCCGAGGA
rnacentral:piRNA from 1 species